rnacentral:snoRNA from 1 species
CCGCUUGAUGAAGAUGAAGUUGUGUCCCAUAUUCUUGAAGGUUUAGAUGCAGAUUACAACCCGUUUGUGUCUGCCAUCUCCAUGCGAGUGGACCAAGGCGUUGGUCUGAACGAGCUCUUCUCCCUUCUCCUCUCUACGGAGGCACGCAUCGAGG